AUAUGUAUGUAGUAACAAUCUAAAAAGCAGCCAGAAGUAGCUAGAUUUAUUUUGGUGGCUAAAAUGGAUUGUUUUUUGGCUAAAACCGUUGAAAAUCCGCUAGAUCUAGCCAUAAAAUGGCUAAAACGGCAACACUGCCCGCAUGUCAUAUAU